AAGCUUAUUCCCCAUUCCGUGGAUUGCGUUCCCAAGCCUCCUGGAUUGACCCCACCGUUCACAGUUCCAAAUCCGGCAUCUCCUCUCAGCCGAGAACACUAUCCCACGUCAUCCAUAUCAUCCCAGAUUUUAUCCAAACUCUCUCCCAGCCGAAUCAAGCUAUCCAUCAUCCACGGAUUCUCUCGUCUUCAUCCCAUCAUCCGCAUCACCCUCAUUUGCUUCCUCAUCUUUGAAUUAACUCCCCUGUUUCACGCAUCCAGCUUCUCCUCCACGUUCCGGAUUAGAUCACAUCUCCCAGCUUGCGAUCAUCCUUAUCCCAGCAGCUUCUUCUCUCCCACUGCAUCCACGUCACCAGGUAUCCGUUCCUUGUUAUCAGCCGAGAUCCCAACAUCCUAGCUUGCAUUCUUAUCCUGUUUGUAAUUAAUCAUCCUUAUCCCAGCAAAUCCAAACAUCCCUGCUUCAAGAUCAGUUCGAAUCCCAUCUUCUCCGAAUCCCCUACCUCCUCAUCCCAACUCUAUCCUCUCGGAACAAAUCUCAUCCCAUUCGCAACCAGCCAAAUCCCAGCAAACCUCAGGAUCUCAUCCAAUUCCUCCCAACGGCUUUAUUCUCAUGCGAUUCAUCAUCCCCUGUUCACAGCCGGAUGAACAUCCGCAACAAUCUCAUGCCCAUCUCCCAGAUCUCCAGCCAACGGCAGCACAACCAAACUACCAGCAUCCGGAUCAGAGCCAACAACGAAUUCAUCGCAUCCAAGGAUCAAGGAACAGAGCCGGGAUCUUCUCAACGUCCGCAUCAUCCCCUGCAUCCAAAGCCAAAGCCAGCCUUGUCAACGCGAUCGUCUCCCAGUCCACAUCCUUCCCAACGUCCGAAUCGGCUCAAAUCUUCCGCACCGCGUCCCAGCCGCGUCCAAGAAUCCUUCCACGUGUUGAAGAAGCCUGGCUCCUUCGUUUCAUUCCCUGGAUUCGCAUCAACAGCUCACCUUCUUUCCAACUCCCGGAUCAGCUCUAUCUUCAUCGCACGUCCGCCGCUUCUCCGUCGUUAUCUUCCCACUAGGAAGAUCUUAUCCAUGUGAGGGAAGUAGGGCGCUGGGGAAGCUAUAAAAGGAGGAAAGUUCUCUUCACGGCAUCAUCUCUUCGCUGGAGAAGCUUGGGUUCCCAGACCAAGUUUCCACAAAAAUAAGUGGGAGAGAUAGUAGUUUGGGUAUUUUGGGAAUGAUUUUUCAAAGAAAAAAUAAUGAAGUUCAAGAGGGAGAGGAAGCCGACGGGAGAAAAAAAGGAGAACCCAGUCAUGAUGAAGGCCUUCUACAUCGCUGUUGCUGUCGCCCACGACUCCAUGGAAGGCUGAUCUCCUCACUAGGGCUGGAUGCAGCCCUAACAAAGGGCUAAGGGUUUUAUAUUUUAAUUUUCUAUUCCUGGAGUUGUAUAAACUUUAUUUUGCUCCCAAUGAAUAUUUUAUUUCAUCUCAUAUUUAAUUUCUAUGAUUUUAAGUAUGAUGCUUAUGCAAGUAUUCUUCAUUAUCACAAAGUAAAUAUAAGAUAAUCCAUGCAUAAGGAAGAUGUGGUGUGCUACCACCUUAGAUUAGGAUAGAUAUUUCAUACCAACUGAAAAUGGAUUAUUCCCAAAUUGCUUUUAUGAAUUUCUAUUUAAAUGCUUAUUAGGCUUGUAGCCAAUUUGCAUGUUAAUCCAAAAAUAAAUUAAAAUACAAUUAAUCCUUGUUCCGAUGUUAGUGGUGUAUUCCUUGCCCUAGGUCCCCUCACACUGAUAUCACUUCAAUUGCAUUUUCAUUAAAUUUCUUAGUUUAAUUUUCUUUAUAAAUUUUCCUUUUUAAAUAUUUUUUUUAGAAAACAACUAUACCCCAAUCUCUGUGAAUCGAUACCCGUAAUCACUAUUCUACUAGAUACGUGCUAUUGCGUGGUCUUUAAAAUUGACUAUCAAGAGGAAGGAUGUGAACUUCCUUCUUUGGGCCAAGAGGGGGAUGCGAUGCAGGGGCCUCCCGUGAUCGCAUAGAAUGGGGGGCGCGUGAAGAAUGCGGACUGCUGGGAGGAGCGGACGUGGGAGAUGCUUUGAUUGCAUUGAUGGCGUGGAGGAUUUGGAAGGGAUGCCACGGCUGCAGGUUUGGACGGUUGAUGGUCUAGUGAUGUUUUAUUGGAUGCAUGUUCGGAUGAGACGUGGACAGUUGGGAUUUCAUGCAUGCAUGGCAAUUGGAGAAUUUGUUGAGCUCGGGCUGUCGGGCAUUGGGCUCAAACCCAAUAUUAUUGGGUCUCUUGGAUUCCUUGCACUCAAACACAAA
rnacentral:lncRNA from 1 species